UUUCUACUCGUACCUUUUGCAUCAUGAUUUAGCAAGAAAACUACAAGCAAAGAGCCCUUUAGUUUGUAACCCCGAAACUGAGCGAGCUACUCCAAGACAGCCUAUAAAGGGCAAACCCGUCUCUGUGGCAAAAGAGUGGGAAGAGCUUUGAGUAGAGGUGACAAACCUACCGAGCCCAGUUAUAGCUGGUUGCCUGUGAAAUGAAUAGGAGUUCAGCCCUUUAAGUCUUUCCCCCCUCACCCAUGCUUACGCUAAAAUUGAUUAAGGAAACUAAAGGCGUUAAUCAAAAGGGGUACAGCCCUUUUGAUAGAAGAAACAACUUUAACAGGUGACCCAAGAUCAUAUUACCCAAGGAUUUCAAAUUAAGUGGGCCUAAAAGCAGCCAUCUUAUCAGAAAGCGUUAAAGCUCAAAUUAGCCUAUAUCCUCAUAUACUGAUAUUACAUCUCCCUCCCUGCCCCUUAMCAGGCUGUCUUAUGCCCCCAUAAGAACAAUUAUGCUAAAAUGAGUAAUAAGAAGAAUUUAAUUCUUCUCCUAGCACAUGUGUAAGUCGGAACGGACCUCCCACCGACUAUUAAUCGACCCCAAACCCAGAGGGUAAUAGGUCAAAAAAACAAGAAAAACACCUAUUUUAUAUCGUUAACCCCACACAGGUGUGCCUAAAGGAAAGACUAAAAGAGAAGGAAGGAACUCGGCAAACACAAGCCUCGCCUGUUUACCAAAAACAUCGCCUCUUGCUCCAAAAAUAUAAGAGGUCCCGCCUGCCCUGUGACUAUAAGUUUAACGGCCGCGGUAUUUUAACCGUGCGAAGGUAGCGUAAUCACUUGUCUUUUAAAUGAAGACCUGUAUGAAUGGCAUCACGAGGGCUUAGCUGUCUCCCAUCUCCAGUCAAUGAAAUUGACCUCCCCGUGCAGAGGCGGGGAUAAUUACAUAAGACGAGAAGACCCUAUGGAGCUUUAGACCUAAAGUAAGUCACGUUUAACAUGCUGUGAUAACAGUAAAAACUUAGUGAUAUUUACUGAAGUGUCUUUGGUUGGGGCGACCGCGGGGUAAAACACAACCCCCAUGUGGACCGGGGAUAUUAUCCCUAAUACUCAGAGCCUCUACUCCAAGUAACAGAAAUUCUGACUUUUCUGAUCCGGUAUAACCGAUCAACGAACCGAGUUACCCUAGGGAUAACAGCGCAAUCCCCUCUCAGAGCCCAUAUCGACGAGGGGGUUUACGACCUCGAUGUUGGAUCAGGACAUCCUAAUGGUGCAGCCGCUAUUAAGGGUCG
rnacentral:rRNA from 1 species